CAAAGGAGAACAAAGGUGAUGAAUUUAAAAAAACAUGUUGAAACCAGCAGAGGACAACCCAAUAUUUUUCCCUACUGAUUCUGAAUAUGACUGGUUGUUGGCCAAGAUCUUCGUGAGAAGUGCAGAUUUCAACCUGUUUGAACUAAAUGCUCACCUGCUGCGCACUCACCUGCUGGCUGAGGUGCAAUGUCAGUGUUGCGUAACCUGCCCACGGUUCACCCUCUGUACAAGCUCCUCAUACCUCACACUCGCUACACUCUAAACAUCAACUUCUUAGCUCGGAAACUGCUAAUAUCUAAGAAUGGAGUUUUCACUCAGUUUACAGCUUCGGUGGAGAGGGUGUUUUCACAAUCCUGAAGAAAUCACUGUCCUCGCUGACCUACAGCUCCCUCUGUAUCCCCGAUGAUAUUGCGGAGCGUGGGCUGAAAGAUGUGCCAAACUUCCACUACAGGGAUGAUGGACUGAAGCUCUGGGACAUCAUACACAGGUUCUAUUGCCACUUUGUC